AUUGUGGCUGCAAAGAGAAUAGCAUAGAUGGCAGCUCUGGGUGUUUACUCCUUGUCUUGUUUGCCAGUUAUGUAACUUCUCCCUUCCAUGACUUCACUUGUCUUUGUUUUCCGUCCAUUGUAGUAGCUUCUGCCAAAUGCUCUUGGAAUAGUGGCACUCAAAGAACAAGUGAUCGAAUGUCUCUUCUAAGCUGGUUGAGCAUAAAGCACACUCACUUUGUGUACUUGAAUCCCCCAUUUUCUAAUUCUAUCCACUGUUGUGAAGGGCCAUUCACAAGGUGAAUUGAUGUUUUGGAAUCAAACAUUUACUUAGGAUCAAGCUUUUCCAAGUGACUUUAGGGUAUUGAGGUAGACCGUCCGUUUAUGCUUUCUUUAUGGUGAAUUUUCUUUGAGUUGCAUACUUCCGUAACUUGUCCAUAUUUAGAUCUACCCAUUGUCUAGCCUCAAAGAUCUUUCUAACCACACAGCUUGUUUGUCGAGUGUUUUCAUGUCUUUUAGGCCUUUUUCCUUUAUGUAUUGGUGUUGGAUCCACUGGACUCAAAGAGUGUCGUUUUCUGAGAUAUUACCCAUAGUAGUUUCAAGAUUGUUGCUUUACUUCCUCCGGUCCAUAAUAAGUGGUUAAUUUGCUUUAAGUACACCCAUUACGAAAAUAUUAAAUUUUAGACCAAAAUAGUUAGUGUGACUAAACUACCC
rnacentral:lncRNA from 1 species